rnacentral:rRNA from 1 species
CCUACGGGUGGCAGCAGUGAGGAAUAUUGGUCAAUGGACGCAAGUCUGAACCAGCCAUGCCGCGUGCAGGAAGACGGCUCUAUGAAUUGUAAACUGCUUUUGUACGAGGGUAAACGCAGAUACGCGUAUCUGUCUGAAAGUAUCGUACGAAUAAGGAUCGGCUAACUCCGUGCCAGCAGCCGCGGUAAUACGGAGGAUUCAAGCGUUAUCCGGAUUUAUUGGGUUUAAAGGGUGGGUAGGCGGUUCGAUAAGUUAGAGGUGAAAGCCCGGGGCUCAACUCCGGCACUGCCUCUGAAAAUGUCGGGCUAGAGGUUAGUUGCGGGAGGCGGAAAGUAUGGUGUAGCGGUGAAAUGCAUAGAGA